rnacentral:rRNA from 1 species
GAUGAACGCUAGCGGCAGGCUUAAUACAUGCAAGUCGAGGGGCAGCAGUUUUGUAGCAAUACAGAAGCUGGCGACCGGCAAACGGGUGCGGAACACGUACGCAACCUUCCUUUAACUGGGAGAUAGCCCACCGAAAGGUGGAUUAAUAUCCCAUAGUAUAUUUGAGUGGCAUCACUUAGAUAUUAAAGCUCCGGCGGUUAAAGAUGGGCGUGCGUCUGAUUAGGUAGUUGGCGGGGUAACGGCCCACCAAGCCCACGAUCAGUAGCUGAUGUGAGGGCAUGAUCAGCCACACGGGCACUGAGACACGGGCCCGACUCCUACGGGAGGCAGCAGUAAGGAAUAUUGGUCAAUGGACGCAAGUCUGAACCAGCCAUGCCGCGUGGAGGAUGAAGGUCCUCUGGAUUGUAAACUUCUUUUCUUUGGGACGAAACCCCUGUUUCUACGGGGACUGACGGUACCAGAGGAAUAAGCACCGGCUAACUCCGUGCCAGCAGCCGCGGUAAUAC